rnacentral:lncRNA from 1 species
CACUGGGAUUACAGGCAUGAAGACAUUGUUUUCAAGGGAUCACUCUGCUUUGUGGAGACUAGACUGUGAGGAGCAAGCCUCGAAAGGGGAGAGCUGUUUCGAGGUUCUCCACUGCAGCCUGCUCCACAGCCACGCCCUCCCAUCCAUGGCUACACACUCACAUUCUGGGCCUCUUCCCUGGACCAGAUUGCACAGCAGGGCCGCUCUCUCCAGUGCCUCCAGCUGGCCCCUGCUGACAAGUCCGUGUUGUGUCAUGUUGGGAGUCUGGGCAAGGCACGAGGGCCCCUCUCUAGCAGGUCCCGAUGGCUCCUCCACACCUUCAGGAAAAGCAAGAGAUAAACCAUUGCAUGCUGAGCUCUGCAGGGAACUGGAGGCGGACACCAUCCAUUCUGCAAACCUGCAAUGGUGACACUUCUGGAAUCUCCUUGCCUCUUCCAGGGCUGCAGCCUCUAAGGCAGGGCCCAAAGCAGGAUGGAGAUAAAGAUGCCCAGAAGAAACCAAAGCCUUCUUGGGGGAAACUGUAAGAAGUCAGGAGGGAAUUCUUUAUUAGAAAUUGAAGAUCCCGCUGGGCGUGGUGGCUCAUGCCUGUAAUCCCAGCACUUUGGGAGGCCGAGGUGGACAGAUCACCUGAGGUAGAAGUUCGAGACCAGCCUGGCCAACAUAGCAAAACCCCAUCUCUACUAAAAAUACAAAAAUUAGCCGGGCGUGAUGGCACGCACCUGUAAUCCCAGCUACUCAGGAAGCUAAGGCAGGAGAAUCACUUGAACUUGGGAGGUGGAGGUUGUAGUGAGCCAAGAUGGCGCCAUUGCACUCCAGCCUAGGCAACAAGAGCGAGACUCCAUCUCAAAAAAAAAAAA